ACUUUGCCCUUCAGUCUGUGACAGCUGAGUGUAGCUGGGACUCUCUGCUCUCAGCUGCAAGGCCUGGCCCCUGAGGGCACCCAAGAAACCUAGGGGGAAGGAGCCCAACCUCCUGGGGUAUAUGGGGCUGGUCUCUGCUGGGGGUGCCACCUGCCCUCAGACCCAGGAGGAGGGGCAGAACCAAACAGCCUCCUUCAGGGCCAGGAGCACUGAGAGGGCCGCCUCCUGCCAGGCCCCAUGCAGCUGGGAGAAUGACAGUCCCCUUAGAUUAAGCCUACCCUGCUUCUGGAGGCGCAAACUUAACUUCUACCCUCUUCCCCACAAAUUCCAUUUUAAAAAUACUUUUGAUUUUCAAAACAAGACUCAAUGAUGGACACCAUCCCUAAAGGGGGAAGUCUUAUGGGCUGAGCUUGCAGGCCAGUGUGGAGGUGUAUUAUGAUCUUUAAAAUUUCACCCAGUUAAGAAGAAAGCUGUCAGCUGUUUACAUUUUAGGCUAAUUCUGGGCCUUUUCUUGCUGUAGUUCCCCCGUCCUCAGCAGGAAGCAGCUCAGAGUCAUCGAAUGCCUUCGUCACAGAUCCAGAGACAAUCAGACCCCAAAGAAUCAGAGAAGUGGAAAGUGAGCCCUGGGGUUUACAAACAAGCUUCCUAUGGAUACAACAUCAUCUCACCUAAGUCACUCUGAAAGUCUUCUAAGUACAAACAAAAAGGCUAUCAGGAUGGGCCCACCAUGGCUGAGUAGUAUUUAAGGAUGCACUUAUAAGUGAUAAGACUGAAAUAAUAGGAGGGAGAUGUAAGCACAAAUUCAGGGUUGUGAUGACCUUUGGGAGGUGGGAAGGUCGGGGAGGGACGGAGAAGAGCCCGUGGCAGACACAGUUAAUUGGUAAUGUCCUAGUUCUUGGAUUGACCAGCAGGUCAUGGGCAUUCCUUGUUAGAAUGUUUAAACAAACACUCUAAAGUAAACAACAACAAUAGCGUGUCAUGAACUAAAGAUUAUAAUUCAUCUAAUUACUUUAAUUCCUCCUUUGUUUUAAAUGCAAACACCUGACUACACAGAUAAUGGAGGUUCCAGCCCAAUAUGGCCUCGGAGGUGGCCAAGAUGCCCCUGGUAGGGAUCUCCCGAAUUGAAUGAUGGAGAGUGAUGUUGUCAUCAAUCACCCGUGUGCCAUGAGCCCCACAAUCCAGGAGAGCUGAGGCACAGGAAACUCACACCAUAAAGGCAACCUUCCCCUCCCACACCCCAAGCCAUCAGAGUCGCUGAGCCCUGUGUUUUAUUUCACCAUUGUGUGCCUACCACUUAACACGGAAAGAUAUUACUCAUGAAAGAUGAGUCCUGAAAGGAAAGUUUGGGGUUUUAUUAUACCUCUGGGCUAGAUUGGGCGAUCUUUGAAGAAAUAAGGUUGUACCCUUUUCAUUUCCUAUCCACAGGACAAUAUUUUAGCCAUGCGUAGGGUCAGAGAGA
rnacentral:lncRNA from 1 species